CGUUAAUCGGAAUUACUGGGCGUAAAGCGCGCGUAGGUGGUUUGUUAAGUUGGAUGUGAAAGCCCUGGGCUCAACCUAGGAACUGCAUCCAAAACUAACUCACUAGAGUACGAUAGAGGGAGGUAGAAUUCAUAGUGUAGCAGUGGAAUGCGCAGAUAUUAUGAAGAAUACCGGUGGCGAAGGCGGCCUCCUGGAUCUGUACUGACACUGAGGUGCGAAAGCGUGGGUAGCGAACAGGAUUAGAUACCCUCGUAGUCCAUGCCGUAAACGAUGUGUGUUAGACGUUGGAAAUUUAUUUUCAGUGUCGCAGGGAAACCGAUAAACACACCGCCUGGGGAGUACGACCGCAAGGUUAAAACUCAAAUAAAUUGACGGGGGCCCGCACAAGCGGUGGAGCAUGUGGUUUAAUUCGAAGAUACGCGCAGAACCUUACCAACACUUGACAUGUUCGUCGCGACUUUAAGAGAUUAAAGUUUUCGGUUCGGCCGGACGAAACACAGGUGCUGCAUGGCU
rnacentral:rRNA from 1 species